rfam:Celeribacter indicus strain P73 plasmid pP73E, complete sequence.
AUUCAGGGGUCCGCAAGAACCCCGUGAGGCGCCAGCCCAAUCUUGCAUCCUUCCAGUUCUCGCUCUUUGCAUGGAGGAUGCUUUAUG